UAUUAUAUCUGUGCCUAGACAACACCUGAAUGACGACACCAUGAACUAUGACUAUGACAGGUUGAAUGAAGAGUAGAAUGUAAACAAGCGUGCGGCUCGUAAUCAGUGGUCCGAGUAAUUACUACAAAUUGACGACGAAAGUUGGGAUAAAUCCACAAAUAAAUCUACCUGUUUGAUUGUUUUCUUUUACUACUUUGACGAAGCAAACGAGUCCGAAGAAGAAGAAUAGGAAGAAGGAUUGUAUGUGAGUGCAAUACUGAAGACUCCGCGACAAGGCAGCGGCGAAUUCCGCGACUGAUUAGCGGCGCAUUCCGUGACACGACAGCGGCGAAUUUCGCGACAAGUAAGCGACGAAAUCCUCGACACGGUAGAGGCGAUAUCCGCGCAUGAAAGCGGCGUAAACCUCGGCAAGACAGAGAAUGGAUAGCAGCAAACUGAUUGCUAACUUGCCUCCGUUUACCGUCGGAGAUGUUCCCCUAACGGAGAGAAGGAAUAAAUGGUACACAUGGAAGCGCGGCUUCGAAAUUUGUGUCCGUGCUUCAAAGGUCACGAAAGGUACGGAAAAGAAGGACGUGCUGUUAGCUCAAGGUGGGUUUGAGCUACAGGAAAUAUUUUUCAAUAUUCCUGGUGCGGAUGUCGAGGAAGACGUUGAGGCGGGUGUUGAUCCGUACGAAGUGGCGAUUGAGAAAUUGGAUGAUUAUUUUGCCCCACAACGACACGACGCACACGAGCGAUACAUUUUCUGGGGGAUGAAACCUGAGCCU